AUCAAUGAUCCUCUCCUGUCUGUACGGUAAAUAUGAAGCUACAGCCAGCAGCUGGUUAGAUUCACAGUAGAACAGAAAUGGGGAAACUGGCUGUGGCCUGGCUCUGUCCAAAGAGAAUAAAUUGGAAACCAGAGAUACAACAAAACAGGGAACAGGACCCUCUUGAACCUCAGAGGGACACCGUGGUGGCUGGAGAACAGCGAACUGCCAAGAUCCAGGACGGAAGCUAGAGAUCUAAGAGAUGCUAUGAAGCUUGAUAAUAAUGUUAAUACACUCAUCUGGGAUGCCUCUAGUUAUUACGAUGCACCCAUAAUAAUUAGUUUUAUGAGCAGUAUCAAGAGAUGAAUGGACUUUCUGGCUGUGAAUUAUGCCUCUCAGGCUACAUGCAAACUGCCCUACCUGCUGAUUGGUAUAGGUUGUUGGGGCAGUUCUUGUCACGCACGUAUAAAAAUUGGUCACAUUUUUGUAUGUUUAAUUUAUUU